AUGAACGCUGGCGGCGUGCCUAAUACAUGCAAGUCGAGCGAACAGACGAGGAGCUUGCUCCUCUGACGUUAGCGGCGGACGGGUGAGUAACACGUGGAUAACCUACCUAUAAGACUGGGAUAACUUCGGGAAACCGGAGCUAAUACCGGAUAAUAUAUUGAACCGCAUGGUUCAAUAGUGAAAGACGGUUUUGCUGUCACUUAUAGAUGGAUCCGCGCCGCAUUAGCUAGUUGGUAAGGUAACGGCUUACCAAGGCAACGAUGCGUAGCCGACCUGAGAGGGUGAUCGGCCACACUGGAACUGAGACACGGUCCAGACUCCUACGGGAGGCAGCAGUAGGGAAUCUUCCGCAAUGGACGAAAGCCUGACGGAGCAACGCCGCGUGAGUGAUGAAGGUCUUCGGAUCGUAAAACUCUGUUAUUAGGGAAGAACAAAUGUGUAAGUAACUAUGCACGUCUUGACGGUACCUAAUCAGAAAGCCACGGCUAACUACGUG
rnacentral:rRNA from 1 species